rnacentral:tRNA from 1 species
GCUUAGAUGGUGAAGAAUCUGCCUGCAAUGCAGGAGACCUGGGUUCAAUCCCCAG